ACUCCUACGGGAGGCAGCAGUGGGGAAUAUUGCACAAUGGGCGCAAGCCUGAUGCAGCCAUGCCGCGUGUGUGAAGAAGGCUUUCGGGUUGUAAAGCACUUUCAGUUGUGAGGAAAGGUUAGUCGCUAAUAUCGGCUAGCUGUGACGUUAGCAACAGAAGAAGCACCGGCUAACUCCGUGCCAGCAGCCGCGGUAAUACGGAGGGUGCGAGCGUUAAUCGGAAUUAUUGGGUUUAAAGGGUCCGUAGGCGGGCCGGUAAGUCAGGGGUGAAAGUCUGUAGCUCAACUAUAGAACUGCCUUUGAUACUGCCGGUCUUGAGUCACGGUGAAGUUGCCGGAAUAUGUGGUGUAGCGGUGAAAUGCAUAGAUAUCACAUAGAACACCGAUUGCGAAGGCAGGUGACUAACCGUGUACUGACGCUGAUGGACGAAAGCGUGGGGAGCGAACAGGAUUAG
rnacentral:rRNA from 1 species